GUGGGGCCGACAAAUGUAUGACUAUUUGUACGUAACGUACAAUAAGUAUGACUAUUGGCCAAGGUCUUCGACAGAAAGGUAAGCUCUAAGCUCUGAAAGGCGACUCCGGUUGGUUAAAUGCUUUAAUAAUUCAAGUAUAAAUCUGUUUAUGAAUUUCUUUCAUUCCAUUUUAAGAUAUCGCGCUUGGGGUGGUGUGUCAAUAUAUAUUUUUAAUAAAGUUGCUCAAAAAGUGCUUCUUUACGUAGCUGUUUAUCGUGCGGAAAGUUAGUUUUCGCGAACUAAUGCUUUUCACUUUUUCAAUUUUUUUAUACUUGUUCCAAUUCAUGACCACUUAUUGAUGAGUGUUCAUGUUAGUUUAUUUAAAAGUCAUAAUGAACAUAAAAACCCACCUGUUAAUGUUAAAAUAAUAAAAAUACACAUAUUUCCCUCUUCAUCAUUAUAACACGUUGAUUUUUUAAUAUAGAAUAUUGAAAAACCGUUCUUAAUAAGUUGUGUGAAUGAAACGGAAUAGCUGCCGAAACGCCUGUCAAAGAAGUGGCGUUUUCCCUUACUGCAAGCAUGUUUUAAGUUUCCAAGGCAACAUUCGAUAUUGUUUUUAUACAAUUUAAAUAAACGAUACAAAAAUAAUCGUAAAUAACGAUACUUAGAUAAUAAUAGUAAAAUGUUUUGUACACGUGCGGAAAUGUCAUUCUUCACUCGUCGCGAGUCUUACCACUUACCUACGGCUGGUGGCAAGAUAUCUUGGUAUUCGUGAAGUAAUCAUACUUUCCGCACUAGCGUCUAUUUUAUCUUUUAUAUAGGUACGUACGUACAUAUUGUCGUAUUAAUUUAACGCAUAAAAUGGACUUAACGACUUAAUAACUUUAAUCUCUCGCUUCGCUUAGCGUACAGAUUGUGUUUCUAGUUUUCACCGACAGUUUGAAAUCAUGAUACGCUUGAGAACAACAUUAAUAUGUAUUUCUUUAAUUUAUUUUUCACAUUUGAUACACUGCAAUGUAAUAUUAGUUGUAAAUUACGAUGAUCUAGAUCAUCUAGCUAAAGAACUAGUUCCAAAAGAAGAAAACCCGUUUAUAUCUACUAAAAAAGUAUCCAUUGUAAAGAGGAUUGUUCCUCAUGGGUAUAAAACACCGGCAUUCGAGUACGACAAAAAUCUAAGGACAAUAUUUAAGCCCAUAUACAGAGUGCACAAUCAAGUGCGUAAUAAUAACAGAAACACACUCGAACAAAUUUACAAAUCAUUGUUCAAACCUAAAACCUAUAAAGGGCGAAACCCAAUCAACGCCAUCUUGAAAUUUGCGGGAAAACAAAAUGGCCGACAUAUUUUGAGGGAUGACUUGAAUGGGAAACUUUAUGACCCCGCGAGUGUUCCAAGUAGCAGGCCGGUGGAAGUUGAAUUUGAAGAGGACCCACAAAAGAAAAAAGAUAUACAAUAUAAUUUUCCAACUUUUUCUAUUUAUAAUUAUUGGACGUACGAUAAGGCGCUGUUCCAAGACCGCUGUCCGGUUAACACGGCAUUGGUUGGCAAAUACUGCGUCCACGCACCACACAUAGUCACGUAAAUAUUCGUUUCAAUAAAAAAAUUACAUACACGGUAA